rnacentral:rRNA from 1 species
CUUUGACGUUAGCGGCGGACGGGUGAGUAACACGUGGAUAACCUACCUAUAAGACUGGGAUAACUUCGGGAAACCGGAGCUAAUACCGGAUAACAUAUUGAACCGCAUGGUUCAAUAGUGAAAGGCGGCUUUGCUGUCACUUAUAGAUGGAUCCGCGCCGUAUUAGCUAGUUGGUAAGGUAACGGCUUACCAAGGCAACGAUACGUAGCCGACCUGAGAGGGUGAUCGGCCACACUGGAACUGAGACACGGUCCAGACUCCUACGGGAGGCAGCAGUAGGGAAUCUUCCGCAAUGGGCGAAAGCCUGACGGAGCAACGCCGCGUGAGUGAUGAAGGUCUUCGGAUCGUAAAACUCUGUUAUCAGGGAAGAACAAAUGUGUAAGUAACUGUGCACAUCUUGACGGUACCUGAUCAGAAAGCCACGGCUAACUACGUGCCAGCAGCCGCGGUAAUACGUAGGUGGCAAGCGUUAUCCGGAAUUAUUGGGCGUAAAGCGCGCGUAGGCGGUUUUUUAAGUCUGAUGUGAAAGCCCACGGCUCAACCGUGGAGGGUCAUUGGAAACUGGAAAACUUGAGUGCAGAAGAGGAAAGUGGAAUUCCAUGUGUAGCGGUGAAAUGCGCAGAGAUAUGGAGGAACACCAGUGGCGAAGGCGACUUUCUGGUCUGUAACUGACGCUGAUGUGCGAAAGCGUGGGGAUCAAACAGGAUUAGAUACCCUGGUAGUCCACGCCGUAAACGAUGAGUGCUAAGUGUUAGGGGGUUUCCGCCCCUUAGUGCUGCAGCUAACGCAUUAAGCACUCCGCCUGGGGAGUACGACCGCAAGGUGAAACUCAAAGGGAUUGACGGGGACCCGCACAAGCGGUUGAGCAUGUGGUUUAAUUCGAAGCAACGCGAAGAACCUUACCAAAUCUUGACAUCCUUUGACCGCUCUAGAGAUAGAGUCUUACCCUUCGGGGGACAAAGUGACAGGUGGUGCAUGGUUGNCGUCAG